UGGCUAUAGCUACAUUUAAACAUGCUGAGGAGUUUACUGGCCGGUUGUUGUGAUCACUGUUGACUAAUUUGCUUACUGAAUUUUUCACAAUU